rnacentral:rRNA from 1 species
UACGAAGGGGGCUAGCGUUGCUCGGAAUUACUGGGCGUAAAGGGCGCGUAGGCGGAUGUCUAAGUUGGGGGGUGAAAUCCCGGGGCUCAACCUCGGGAACCGCCUUCAAUACUGGAUAUCUUGAGUUCGGGAGAGGUGAGUGGAAUGCCGAGUGUAGAAGUGAAAUUCGUAGAUAUUCGGCGGAACACCAGUGGCGAAGGCGACUCACUGGCCCGAUACUGACGCUGAGGCGCGAAAGCGUGGGGGAGCAAACAGG